GUGUGGAAAGAUGUGGCAGGAAAACAGGUUUUAAAAAGCAUUUGAACUCAAUCAUUCAGAGCCUUAAAACUCAGGCUAAGAAGAUCAUACUGUAUCCCAUAAGGCCUGAGACGCUAUGCAGAUUUUUGAGCAAAAGAAACAGGGAACGUGACAUUUGUGUCAUGUUAAUGAGGUGUGGACCAAAGAGACAAAGGCUUAGUUGCAGAAGGGGCUAUUGCUAUGGUCUAAGGAAGAGUGGUGAGAGCAAGAGUUUGGGAAGUAGCUUGGGAAAUAUAAAGGAAGAGACAGCGUUGUUUGAGAGAUAAUUAGAAAGUAUAAUCAACAAAAUUUAGUGACUAAUGAGGCAUGAGUGUAGAGAGAGGAAUUAAAGACAACUCCAAUAAAAGUGGCCUGAGAGCAGGGAGGUUUAAGUGGGGUAUAUGGGAAGCAUAGGAGGUGCAGUUCUGAAAAGAAACUGGCCAGGAGAGUAUAGGGUUUCGACACGGUGAUUUUGAAUUGCCAGCAGAAACUUUAAAUUGGAAUUCAGGCGAUAUAAAAUUUAGAGUCACCAGUAUGGAGACUAGGCUUAAAGCCAUAAGAGAAGAUGAGAGCCCAGGAAGAAAGCACAGAGGAAAGGAAGAAAGCAAAGAGGGGAAGCUCUGUGGUAGAAAUUUUUUUUUUUUUUUUUUUUGAGAUGAGUCUCGCACUGUUGCCCGGGCUGGAGUGCAAUGGCGCGAUCUCGGCUCAUUGCAACCUCUACCUCCCGGCUUCAAGUGAUUCUCCCGCCUCAGCCUCCCAAAAGGUGGGAUUAUAGGUGCCUGCCGCCACGCCCAGCUAAUUUUUUGUAUUUUUAGUAGAGAUGGGGUUUCACCAUGUUGGCCAGGCUGGUCUCGAACUCUUGACCUCGUGAUCCGCCCGCCUCGGCCUCCCACAGUGCUGGGAUUACAAGCGUAAGCCACCGCGCCUGGCCCAGUAUAGUGCUUUUUGAAUAGGUAUGUAGCCUUUUGAGUUUGGCUUCCUUUGCUGAGCAUAGUAUACUUGACAUUCACCCAUAUUCUUAUGAGUAUCAGUUGUUUGUUUCUUUUUACUGCUGAGCUGUAUUCCAUUCUGUGGAUAGACCUCAGUUUAUCCAUUAACCAGUUGAUGUACAUUCGGGUUGUUUCCAGUUAUUGUUGAUUUUGAAUAAAGCCACUAUAAACAUGUGCAUAUCAAUUUUUGUGUGAACAUAAGUUUUCCUGUCUCUAUGGUAAAUACUUACGAGUGGGAUUGUCG
rnacentral:lncRNA from 1 species